CCCAAGCGAUGACGCGGAAGGUUGCCCGCGCUUGGCGGGGAAAUUUCCGCGGAGAAAUGUCCGUUCAACGAAACUGGGCGAUAA
rfam:Thermosinus carboxydivorans Nor1 ctg45, whole genome shotgun sequence.